UCAUGUAAUCUUCCUUCUAAUGGCGCAACUCCUCCCACUCAUUCAUAAUCCGACCUCCGCGUUUGCACUCGUCCUACAAGAGCUCCCAAAUUUGAACAUCACUGAUGUUCAUCGGAUUUACAGAGUGACGACAAACCCCGUCAGCAUGUUAGAUAAAGGAUUUAAGUUAUAUGCUGCAUCAUAUAUACACAACUACGAAGAUUAAGCUUCUGGAUUCAUCGCCAGUGCUCCUGUGUGGCAGGUGCUGUUAUG